AUUGAACGCUGGCGGCAUGCUUUACACAUGCAAGUCGAACGGUAACAGGUCUUCGGCUGCUGCCGAGUGGCGAACGGGUGAGUAAUACAUCGGAACGUGCCUAGUAUUGGGGGAUAACUACUCGAAAGAGUAGCUAAUACCGCAUGAGAUCUACGGAUGAAAGCAGGGGACCUUCGGGCCUUGUGCUACUAGAGCGGCUGAUGGCAGAUUAGGUAGUUGGUGGGGUAAAGGCUUACCAAGCCUGCGAUCUGUAGCUGGUCUGAGAGGACGACCAGCCACACUGGGACUGAGACACGGCCCAGACUCCUACGGGAGGCAGCAGUGGGGAAUUUUGGACAAUGGGCGAAAGCCUGAUCCAGCAAUGCCGCGUGCAGGAUGAAGGCCCUCGGGUUGUAAACUGCUUUUGUACGGAACGAAAAGCCUGGGGCUAAUAUCCCCGGGUCAUGACGGUACCGUAAGAAUAAGCACCGGCUAACUACGUG
rnacentral:rRNA from 1 species